CCUACGGGGGGCAGCAGUGGGGAAUAUUGGACAAUGGGCGAAAGCCUGAUCCAGCCAUGCCGCGUGUGUGAAGAAGGCCUUCGGGUUGUAAAGCACUUUCAGUGGGGAAGAAAGCCUUGGGGCUAAUACCCUCGAGGAAGGACAUCACCCACAGAAGAAGCACCGGCUAACUCCGUGCCAGCAGCCGCGGUAAUACGGAGGGUGCGAGCGUUAAUCGGAAUUACUGGGCGUAAAGCGCGCGUAGGCGGUCUGAUAAGCCGGUUGUGAAAGCCCCGGGCUCAACCUGGGAACGGCAUCCGGAACUGUCAGGCUAGAGUGCAGGAGAGGAAGGUAGAAUUCCCGGUGUAGCGGUGAAAUGCGUAGAGAUCGGGAGGAAUACCAGUGGCGAAGGCGGCCUUCUGGGCUGACACUGACGCUGAGGUGCGAAAGCGUGGGUAGCAAACAGGAUUAGAUACCCUGGUAGUC
rnacentral:rRNA from 1 species